rnacentral:rRNA from 1 species
AGCGAACGCUGGCGGCGUGCUUAACACAUGCAAGUCGAGCGAGAAAGUCCCGCAAGGGAUGAGUACAGCGGCGAACGGGUGCGUAACACGUGGGCAAUCUGUCCUUGAGACCGGAAUAACCCAGCGAAAGUUGGGCUAAUGCCGGAUAAGACCACGAGCAGACAUGUUUGUGGUCAAAGGGCGCUUCUUCUAGGAGCAUUCACUCACGGAGGACGCCCCGCGGCCUAUCAGCUGGUUGGUAGGGUAACGGCCUACCAAGGCAAAGACGGGUAGCUGGUCUGAGAGGAUGACCAGCCAC